GAUGAACGCUGGCGGCGUGCCUAAUACAUGCAAGUCGAGCGAACAGAUGAGGAGCUUGCUCCUCUGACGUUAGCGGCGGACGGGUGAGUAACACGUGGAUAACCUACCUAUAAGACUGGGAUAACUUCGGGAAACCGGAGCUAAUACCGGAUAAUAUAUUGAACCGCAUGGUUCAAUAGUGAAAGACGGUUUUGCUGUCACUUAUAGAUGGAUCCGCGCCGCAUUAGCUAGUUGGUAAGGUAACGGCUUACCAAGGCAACGAUGCGUAGCCGACCUGAGAGGGUGAUCGGCCACACUGGAACUGAGACACGGUCCAGACUCCUACGGGAGGCAGCAGUAGGGAAUCUACCGCAAUGGGCGAAACCCUGACGGAGCAACGCCGCGUGAGUGAUGAAGGUCUUCGGAUCGUAAAACUCUGUUAUUAGGGAAGAACAAAUGUGUAAGUAACUAUGCACGUCUUGACGGUACCUAAUCAGAAAGCCACGGCUAACUACGUG
rnacentral:rRNA from 1 species